rnacentral:pre_miRNA from 1 species
UUGACAGAUUAUUGUAUUUGACUGUAUUCACGACGUGAAAUAGGGGAUUACACUAUUUUUAAAACGGGAAGUGAAUCAAUUAACAUAAUAGACUCCU